ACUGCCCCUAGAGGCGUUGCAGAUGUGGCUGCCGUGUCACAUUUGUGUCGUUAGGUGGCAGAGAGCAGAGAGGCCUGUCUACGUCCAGCGUUCUGGCGUGAGCGCCCGGAUGAUUGAUGGUCUGACACU